rnacentral:RNase_P_RNA from 1 species
AGAGUUCGCCAGACAAUCGCUGCUCCCGUAUGGGAGGGGAGGAAAGUCCGGGCUCCAUAGGGCAGGGUGCCAGGUAAUGCCUGGGGGGCGUAAGCCUACGGCUAGUGCAGCAGAGAGAAGACCGCCUACGUUUCCUGUUUACAGGAAGCCGGUAAGGGUGAAAGGGUGCGGUAAGAGCGCACCGCGUACGUGGUAACACGUUACGGCAAGGUAAACCCCACCUGGAGCAAGACCAAAUAGGAAUCCUUAAGGCAUGGCCCAUGCUGGAUUCGGGUAGGUCGCUUGAGACCUGUGGCGACGCAGGUCCUAGAUGAAUGAUUGUCCACGACAAAACCCGGCUUAUCGGCGAACUCUACAA